GAUGAAGAACGUAGCGAAAUGCGAUAAGUAAUGUGAAUUGCAGAAUUCAGUGAAUCAUCGAAUCUUUGAACGCACAUUGCGCCCCCUGGUAUUCCGGGGGGCAUGCCUGUUCGAGCGUCAUUUCAACCCUCAUGCUCUGCUUGGUAUUGGGCGUCGCCGGGGAGUCUCCCCGGCGUGCCUCAAAGCCAUCGGCGGUGGUGCCUUUCUCUAAGCGUGGUAGAAUUUUUAUUCGCUUCUGAGUUGGGCUUCACCUGCCGGACAAACCGGGCCCUCGCGGCCCACCUUCUCAGGUUGACCUCGGAUCAGGUAGGGAUACCCGCUGAACUUAAGCAUAUCAAUAAGCGGAGGA
rnacentral:misc_RNA from 1 species